UUACCUCAAUAUUUUUAUGCAGUAUGAAUGGAUGUAGAGGGACAUGGCAGCAGUAGAUCGAGCAAGAACACCUUGGUUAAUUUUUACAAGGUAAUUAAGGCUCUUUAAUGUCAACCUCCCUACUUGUAACAAAGACUUGUGGUAUGACACUCCUUUCAUGGCUUUCAUCAAUGCAGGCAUCGUCCCAUGUAUUCCUCUUAUACAGGGCUGUUUAUUAAUAAUGUAGACAAGAAUUUUGUAAUUGAGGUGGAGCCACUAUUGUUAGACAACAAGGUUGAUCUAGCUUUGUGGGGGCAUGUUCAUAACUAUGAGAGGACGUGUGCUGUUUACGCCAAGCAAUGCCUGUAAAAGAUAGGAGAGAAAUCGACACUUACAAUAACACGGAUUAUAAGGCACCGGUUCAUGCUGUUAUCGAAAUGGGUGGCUUUCGCUUGGACCCCUCCCCUAUCACUGCUGAUAGCUGGAGCUUGGUCAGAAUAUCUGAAUAUGGAUAUGCAAGACUGCAUGCGACAAAGAAAGAAUUGAAAGUUGAGUACAUGAAUGCAAACUCAGGAAAUGUAAGAAACAGCUUCCAGAUAACCAAGGCCACAAGAAAGUAGACUUAGAUAGGAUACCUCAGCUAAAUAUACUGUAACAAUAUGAAAAAGAGUAGAAACAUUCCUCCUAAAAAUGUCUACUC